CGAAGGCUUGGUCCUGACUUCACUAUCAACUUCAACUAAACUUAUACAUGCAAGUCUCCGCACUCCUGUGAAAAUGCCCUUAUCCCCCCGCCCGGGAAUAAGGAGCUGGCAUCAGGCACGCACCUGCAGCCCAAGACGCCUUGCUUAGCCACACCCCUAAGGGAACUCAGCAGUAAUAGAUAUUAAGCCAUAAGUGAAAACUCGACUUAGCUAAAGUAAAUUAGGGCCGGUUAAACUCGUGCCAGCUACCGCGGUUAUACGAGAGGCCCAAGCUGAUAUAUACGGCGUAAAGAGUGGUUAAGGAAAACCUAAACUAAAGCGGAACCCCCCCAAGGCUGUUAUACGCACCCGGGGGAGAGAAAACCCACCACGAAAGUGGCUUUAAUAACCCCGAAUCCACGAAAGCUAUGUCACAAACUGGGAUUAGAUACCCCACUAUGCCUAGCCCUAAACAUUGAUGGCACCCUACCCCGCCAUCCGCCCGGGAACUACGAGCAUCAGCUUAAAACCCAAAGGACUUGGCGGUGCUUUAAACCCAUCUAGAGGAGCCUGUUCUAGAAUCGAUAAUCCCCGUUCAACCUCACCCCCCCUUGUUUUUCCCGCCUAUAUACCGCCGUCGUCAGCUUACCCUGUGAAGGUAAUAUAGUAAGCAAAGUUGAUAAAAUCUAAAACGUCAGGUCAAGGUGUAGCAUAUGGGGGAGGGAAGAAAUGGGCUACAUUCCCUGCCCCAGGGAACACGAAAGAUGAUAUGAAAUUCUCAUCCGAAGGAGGAUUUAGCAGUAAGUAGAAAGCAGAGAGUUCAACUGAAACCGGCCCUAAAGCGCGCACACACCGCCCGUCACUCUCCCCAAAACCCAUAAAUAGAUAACUAAUAAGUUUAUAAACCUUUAAGGGGAGGCAAGUCGUAACAUGGUAAGUGUACCGGAAGGUGUACUUGGAAGAAU
rnacentral:ncRNA from 1 species